GGCGACGGGAAAUGAGAGGAAAUUUACAGAUAUAAAGUUAACAGAGUGAUAAAAGUGAGUGUAUUAGCAAGCUAAAGAAUCAACACAGAAGACAGAAUAAGGAGGAGCAACCGAGAGUUUGGAAAACUCCGUUUUCCACCUGUAUUUAUCUCGGUCAGGUCUUAUGAACAGAGUGAAAACUACUUGGAAGAUCCUUCUCUAUCGAUGGCGAGCCUCCCAGUGUGAUCGUGAAGAGACGCAGACCAACUCAUCGAACGUUUCCCCUGGUGGUUGGAAAGUAUCAGUCGCCUGAGCUGGUACCCACUUUCAUCCAAGUGCAAACUUCCUUUUAAAAGGAGGAACUGUCACAGAACUGGUGACACACACUUUUGACACCGAACUAUUGACAGGAUUGAUUAAUACAGAAAGUGAUCACAAAACAAACUUUAACGACUACAAAAGGACAAAAUCAGAGACUCAUUUAUUUUAAAGGGCCCAUUUUUUUUUUUUUCAUAUAAAUGUUAUGCAAUUGUGUUUCAACUGUUAUUUGCAACUUAAUGUGAGUAAAAGUUACUGGUUACUAUUUA